GGACAUAUUUUGAUUAUUACUAAUAAAUUAAUGUCAAAUUAUACGUGUAUACAUUGCUUUAAUUUGAUUAAAGUUAACUUAAUACGUUAAAAUAUAAUUCUGUUACGUUUAAUUUAUUAUUUAACAACUUUAAAAAAAUACAAUACCAUAAAAGAAAUGGGAUGCACAAAUGAUUAUGCCUAAUAUAUAUAUCUGUUAGAAACCGUUUUUAUGAAGGAAACAAAUGAAGAGAAGAAAGCAGAGAUAAAUAAAUACAUAAAUAGAUAUUAUGUAUGUGUUGGUGUAACAACUGCUGACAGCCUUUAAUGAAAGUAAUAAAGUACUUAAAUGAAAUUCAGUAACAAGGCCAUAUAUAAGAAAUAUACGGAUUGAUAAAAUAAAACAAAUCGAAAUAUAAUAAUGAAUCGGUCAGAUAAGUUAAUAGGGUUUCCGUGUCGCGUAGCUCGAACGUAAAGCACGGCAAACAUCAUCAACCAGCUCCGGGAUGAACAAACAGACGGUGCGUAUUAUUGUCGUGGAGUCUGCGAAUUUUUUUUCAACAGUAACAUCGUAACAGCCAAUCAGCGCCAGUGGCAGUUGCAAUUAUCUCUCAGAGCAAAUCGAAUUACGAUCAAUUCGGAUUUGCGCGAAUACGUACGAAUAUAAAAUGGUUUGCGUUAAAAAAUUUUGCAGUACCAUGCACGGGUUACGUUUCCAUUUGUUGGAUUGUUUAAGCGCUGCCAAUUCGUUUUUUUUUUUUUUUUUUAUUUUAAUUUUUUUUUUUUUUUUAUAAUUUGUAAUUUUCUCAUAUCCGACGUAUGGUUCCAAAACCGGCGAGCUAAAUUUCGGAAACAGGAGCGCUUGGCUCAGCAAAAGGCUGGUGAGACACCAGUGAAGGCUGAGGGUAAGCGGGACAAGCCUGGCUCACCAGCUACCUCACCACACCCGCCGCCAUCACAACCAACACACCAUAGCCUUCCACAUUUGUCGCCACCAGACUUAAAACCCAUCACCUCUGCAGCAAACAAACUUUGUGAGGAGUUGAACGGCUCUGAGCCGCCAGUGAGUGGUGUGGGCAGUGGCAAAUGGAGUGCCGGAUGUGGCCUCCUCCGCCAGCCUUCAGGCUUCCCACUGCUGGGAGUCGCUCCACCCAACUAUCUCCUCUCAGAUCACCUCGGAACACUCGCCAAAACGAACAACCAUCUUUUCUAAUGGUCACAACUCUUUUAAACCUUUGGACCCCUGCCAUGGAACCAGCCCGACGCUGUUGCAGAAAGAGGUCCGCAAAGUUUAAAUGUCAGUGCCGUGGUGUCUGUGAAAUGAUUUUUUUAAGUGCCAAACUAUCGUGUCCACUAAAACUUAGAUUAAACGCAGUAUAAACUCUAAGUAGGCGUUUCUAUUGUAACGGUCGUGGGAGUAAAUUGAAUAGGUCAUACGAUAUCCUAGUCAUUUAAUUUUAAAAUGUUUAAGCAAUAUUAAUUUUUAUUUAGAUUGUUUUCUUUUUAAUUUAUAAUUUCUUCCGUGUGAUAAAUUUAUUGUAAAUAUAAUAACGCUGAUAUCGAUAUCUCAAUAGUGUAAGUCUAUAUAGUGACUGUUUAAAACCCUGUUUCUACGUUAACCAGCAAGAUAUUACUGAUCGUAGCAAACUGCGUUGUGAUAAGUGUAGUUUAUAAUAGUUAAACGAUUUAAUAUAGUCAAAUAAUCAUUGUGAGAUCACGAAAUGUAUACAUAUAAUUUGUUUCGAUUAAUUUUAUUAAGCAGAUAUUAAUUUAUUAAUUGUAGGCAACAUGUUGUUUUGAAUUCAACAACAAUGCGUACUAGAAUGAAACUAAUUCAAUGAAAGUAUUUGAAUUUGUUUGAACAUUGUUGUAAAUAUGUAUGUAAAACUGUACAUAUGUAUCAUGCAUUUUAGUGUCGUAUUCCGUGUGUAAUACUGGAGAUGGAGGGUGUUUUAAUAAAGAAAUUAAUAAACUUA